CCUACGGGGGGCUGCAGUGAGGAAUAUUGGUCAAUGGACGGAAGUCUGAACCAGCCAUGCCGCGUGCAGGAAGACGGCUCUAUGAGUUGUAAACUGCUUUUGUACAAGGGUAAACCCGAAUACGUGUAUUCAGCUGAAAGUACUGUACGAAUAAGGAUCGGCUAACUCCGUGCCAGCAGCCGCGGUAAUACGGAGGAUCCAAGCGUUAUCCGGAUUUAUUGGGUUUAAAGAGUUGCGUAGGUGGCAUAAGAAGUAGCUAGUGAAAUCGGGUGGCUCAACCAUUCAGACUAUUAGCUAAACUGGUAAGCUCGAGACCGUUAGGGGUAACUGGAAUUUCUAGUGUAGGAGUGAAAUCCGUAGAUAUUAGAAGGAACACCGAUAGCGUAGGCAGGUUGCUGGGACGGUUCUGACACUAAGGCACGAAAGCGUAGGGAGCAAACGGGAUUAGAUACCCGUGUAGUC
rnacentral:rRNA from 1 species